rnacentral:rRNA from 1 species
GAAACUGGUGCUAAUACCGCAUAACAUCCCCGGGCCCUCGGGUCUGGGGAUCAAAGCUGGGGACCGCAAGGCCUAGCGCUUGAGGAGGAGCCCGCGUCCGAUUAGCUUGUUGGCGGGGUAAUGGCCCACCAAGGCUUCGAUCGGUAGCCGGCCUGAGAGGGCGGACGGCCACACUGGGACUGAGACACGGCCCAGACUCCUACGGGAGGCAGCAGUGGGGAAUUUUUCGCAAUGGGGGAAACCCUGACGAAGCAACGCCGCGUGGAGGAUGAAGGCCUUCGGGUCGUAAACUCCUGUCGAUCGGGACGAAAGCAUCUCGGCCUAAUACGUCGGGGUGUUGACUGUACCGGUGGAGGAAGCUCCGGCUAACUCUGUGCCAGCAGCCGCGGUAAUACAGGGGGAGCAAGCGUUGUUCGGAAUUACUGGGCGUAAAGGGCGCGUAGGCGGUCAUGUAAGUCUUGUGUGAAAUCCCUCGGCUCAACUGGGGAACUGCGCAGGAAACUGCUUGGCUUGAGUUCGGGAGAGGGAAGCGGAAUUCCGGGUGUAGCGGUGAAAUGCGCAGAUAUCCGGAGGAACACCGGUGGCGA